rnacentral:rRNA from 1 species
UGCAGUCGAGCGGUAGGACUUCGGGUCCUGAGAGCGGCGCACGGGUGCGUAACCCGAAUGCAACCUGCCCUGUACAGGGGAAUAGCCCGUCGAAAGGUUGAUUAAUGCCCCAUAGCCCUUGGGGGUGGCAUCGCCACCAAGGUAAAGAUUUAUCGGUACAGGAUGGGCAUGCGUGCCAUUAGCUGGACGGUGGGGUAACGGCCCACCGUGGCGACGAUGGCUAGGGGUUCUGAGAGGAAGGCCCCCCACACUGGGACUGAGACACGGCCCAGACUCCUACGGGAGGCAGCAGUGAGGAAUAUUGGUCAAUGGGCGGAAGCCUGAACCAGCCAUGCCGCGUGCGGGAAGAAGGCGCUACGCGUCGUAAACCGCUUUUGUCCGGGGGUAACCGCGGGGACGUGUCCCCGCCUGCAAGUACCGGACGAAUAAGGGUCGGCUAACUCCGUGCCAGCAGCCGCGGUAAUACGGAGGACCCGAGCGUUAUCCGGAUUCAUUGGGUUUAAAGGGUGCGCAGGCGGCCCGGUCAGUCAGCGGUGAAAUGCCCGCGCUUCACGCGGGAGCUGCCGUUGAUACUGCCGGGCUAGAAUCUCAGCGAGGCGGGCGGAAUGCGCGGUGUAGCGGUGAAAUGCAUAGAUAUCGCGCAGAACGCCGAUUGGGGAGCCAGCUCGCCAGCUGGGUAUUGACGCUGAGGCACGAAAGCGUGGGGAUCGAACAGGAUUAGAUACCCUGGUAGUCCACGCCGUAAACGAUGAUGGCUCGCUCUUGGCUGGAAACGGUCAGGGGCUUAGCGAAAGCGUUAAGCCAUCCACCUGGGGAGUACGCCGGCAACGGUGAA